GUCUCCGUUGGUGAACCAGCGGAGGGAUCAUUGCUGGAACGCGCCCCUGGCGCACCCAGAAACCCUUUGUGAACUCAUACCUUACCGUUGCCUCGGCGCAGGCCGGCCCCCCCCGGGGGGCCCCUCGGAGACGAGGAGCAGGCCCGCCGGCGGCCAAGUUAACUCUUGUUUUUACACUGAAACUCUGAGAAACAAAACACAAAUGAAUCAAAACUUUCAACAACGGAUCUCUUGGUUCUGGCAUCGAUGAAGAACGCAGCGAAAUGCGAUAAGUAAUGUGAAUUGCAGAAUUCAGUGAAUCAUCGAAUCUUUGAACGCACAUUGCGCCCUCUGGUAUUCCGGAGGGCAUGCCUGUUCGAGCGUCAUUUCAACCCUCAAGCCUGGCUUGGUGAUGGGGCACUGCUCCCCCCCCCGGGGAGCAGGCCCUGAAAUCCAGUGGCGAGCUCGCCAGGACCCCGAGCGCAGUAGUUAAACCCUCGCUCCGGGAGGCCCUGGCGGUGCCCUGCCGUUAAACCCCCAACUUCUGAAAGUUUGACCUCGGAUCAGGUAGGAAUACCCGCUGAACUUAA
rnacentral:rRNA from 1 species